AUUCCAGCUCCAAUAGCGUAUAUUAAAGUUGUUGCAGUUAAAAAGCUCGUAGUUGGAUUUCUGACAGGGGGCCGAACACCACUGUAGUGAGUGUUUUGGUACCUGUCAUCCUUCUGUUAACCCUAGCGUCAUUCAUUUGUCGUUGGGCGGACCAGAUACUUUACCUUGAGAAAAUUAGAGUGUUCAAGGCAGGCAAUCGUCAUGAAUACUAUAGCAUGGAAUAAUGGAAUAGGACUUUGGUUCAUUUUAUUGGUUAUUGAACCUUAGUAAUGAUUAACAGGGACAGUUGGGGGCAUUAGUAUUUAAUUGUCAGAGGUGAAAUUCUUGGAUUUAUUAAAGACUAACUUAUGCGAAAGCAUUUGCCAGGGAUGUUUUCAUUA
rnacentral:rRNA from 1 species